UAGUUGCCAAAUGUUCUUCUCUGGUUUUCACUUUUAAUUUCCUGGUAGGUACCAUUAAGCAUUUGAACCCACUUGGGCUUCAUUUGAAUGUAACCUGAAAAAUGGGGAGUCCUACAUUUUUGUCAUUGUUAAAUCUCUGUAUUUUAGGGCGAUGUUGAAUCUCAUGAAGACACAUAGACAUUUGGUGGAGGUGGACAGACUGCUGGCUCGGUCUUGGAUGUAUCUAAUGACUAUAGAUGAGUUGGUUGAAUGCAGCUCCUUCAUCCACCCAGAGCUCCUGGACAUCCUGCAGAUUUUCACCAUGAAAUGCCCCAAAGAAAUACCAAACAGUGCUUCAACAAGCAUUUUGAAGGUUCUGGAAGACAUUCAGAUUCACUUGAUUGAACAAAGAUACAGAUGUCUGAAUGAGGAUUAUGGCAUUCAGUGCAUACAAGCAGCUUGCAAACUUCUAGAGAAGAUCUGCAAAAAAGAAAGGCGAACUGAUAUUCCUGUUGCUUGCAUGAACCUUGUGGCCUCUGUAUCAGACUUUGCCCAGGUAUUCCAUACUGAAAUAAUAUUAACUUUGUCUUAAGUAACUGAUAAAACCGCUACAUGUUCAGAAGAAAAUUGCUCAAUUUCUCUGACAUUUGUUCAACCCUAAGACUACACAACAAACAGACUCUUUUUCUGAGAAGACUCAUGAGUUACUCAGUGAUGCCAAGCAAACUGUCAGAGCGUGGAUUGGACAAACUUUUAAAGCCAAACUAUUGCAAAAAGGCUAUCUAUCACGUGUCAGCUUCACUCCAGAGAUUGAGGUAAGCAGAGCAAGUAUAUACAUACAAACUAACCAAUGGUAGAAUAUUUAACCUAUAUUAUUAUUAUUAUUAUUAUUAUUAUUAUAUUUGUGCUUGUUCUGCUUUACAGAUGUGGAAUAAUAUUAUUGCCAUAGAUUUCAUGAGUAUGGCCUUCACUAAAGAAUGGAGAGAGACCUUCACACAGGACUUUGAGGGAAAAUAUCAACAGGUAUUCAUUACAAAAUUCCAUAGUGUGUGUCUAGUAGGUUUGGGAGUCAAGUAUUUUUACUGGUCCAGUAUUUUAUUUAUGUGUACUUUCUAACAUAUUAAUAAUCACAUGGUUUUUGAUUCAGUCAACGUUAUACAACAGAAUACUAUAUUAAAAUACUCAGACAGUGUUCCUGCACCACUACUGAAUUAGUGUCACAGCAGAAGAUUGCUUUUCAGAAUCAGUUUUCACCCAAAAAUUAAAAUUUGCUGUUAAUUUACUCACCCUCAGGUCAUCCAAGAUGUAGGUGACUUUUUUUCUGCAGUAGAACAAUAAAAAAGAUUUUUAACUGAAAACUUGCUCCUUG
ensembl:lncRNA